UGACCCCACCUGGAGAAUAUGCCCCGGCAAACUUCGUGCCAGCACCCCCGGUAAUACAAAGGGGGCUAACGUUGUUCGGAAUUACUGGGCGUAAAGCGCACGUACGCGGGUCGUUAAGUCAGGGGUGAAAUCCCGGACCUCAACUCCGGAACUGCCUUUGA
rnacentral:rRNA from 1 species